GAUGAACGCUGGCGGCGUGCCUAAUACAUGCAAGUCGAGCGAACAGACGAGGAGCUUGCUCCUCUGACGUUAGCGGCGGACGGGUGAGUAACACGUGGAUAACCUACCUAUAAGACUGGGAUAACUUCGGGAAACCGGAGCUAAUACCGGAUAAUAUAUUGAACCGCAUGGUUCAAUAGUGAAAGACGGUUUUGCUGUCACUUAUAGAUGGAUCCGCGCCGCAUUAGCUAGUUGGUAAGGUAACGGCUUACCAAGGCAACGAUGCGUAGCCGACCUGAGAGGCGGGACGGGAAGAAGGGAACGUAGAAACGGGUCAGACGACGACGGGAGGGACCAGGCGGGAAGAGGAGGGAAUGGUCGAAAGCUUGACGAAGUAAGGGCGGGGGAGUGAGGAAGGUCGUCGGAGCGUAAAACACUGUGAGCGGGAAAGAACAAAUGUGAAAGUAACUAUGCAGGUCUGGACGGUAACGAAAGAGAUAGCAAAGGCCAACUACGUG
rnacentral:rRNA from 1 species